UACGUAGGGGGCAAGCGUUGUCCGGAUUUACUGGGCGUAAAGAGCGUGUAGGCGGCCAUGCAGGUCCGUUGUGAAAACUCGAGGCUCAACCUCGAGACGCCGAUGGAAACCGCAUGGCUAGAGUCCGGAAGAGGAGAGUGGAAUUCCUGGUGUAGCGGUGAAAUGCGCAGAUAUCGGGAGGAACACCAAUGGCGAAGGCAGCUCGCUGGGACGGUACUGACGCUGAGGCGCGAAAGCGUGGGGAGCAAACAGG
rnacentral:rRNA from 1 species